rnacentral:rRNA from 1 species
GACGAACGCUGGCGGCGUGCUUAACACAUGCAAGUCGAACGGAAAGGCCCUGCUUUUGUGGGGUGCUCGAGUGGCGAACGGGUGAGUAGCACGUGAGUAACCUGCCCUUGACUUUGGGAUAACUUCAGGAAACUGGGGCUAAUACCGGAUAGGAGCUCCUGCUGCAUGGUGGGGGUUGGAAAGUUUCGGCGGUUGGGGAUGGACUCGCGGCUUAUCAGCUUGUUGGUGGGGUAGUGGCUUACCAAGGCUUUGACGGGUAGCCGGCCUGAGAGGGUGACCGGCCACAUUGGGACUGAGAUACGGCCCAGACUCCUACGGGAGGCAGCAGUGGGGAAUAUUGACAAUGGGCGGAAGCCUGAUGCAGCAACGCCGCGUGCGGGAUGACGGCCUUCGGGCUGUAAACCGCUUUCGCCUGUGACGAAGCGUGAGUGACGGUAAUGGGUAAAGAAGCACCGGCUAACUACGUG